GGGCCCGCACAAGCGGUGGAGCAUGUGGUUUAAUUCGAUGCAACGCGAAGAACCUUACCUGGUCUUGACAUACACAGAAUCUUGUAGAGAUACGAGAGUGCCUUCGGGAACCGAGUGACAGGUGUUGCAUGGCUGUCGUCAGCUCGUGUCGUGAGAUGUUGGGUUAAGUCCCGUAACGAGCGCAACCCCUAUCUUUUGUUACCAGCGCGUAAUGGCGGGGACUCUAAAGAGACUGCCGGUGAUAAACCGGAGGAAGGCGGGGACGAUGUCAAGUCAUCAUGGCCCUUACGGGUAGGGCUACACACGUGCUACAAUGGUAGGUACAGAGGGCAGCUACACAGCGAUGUGAUGCGAAUCUCAAAAAGCCUAUCGUAGUCCAGAUUGGAGUCUGCAACUCGACUCCAUGAAGUAGGAAUCGCUAGUAAUCG
rnacentral:rRNA from 1 species